AAAAGUAGAAGUAUUCAAUUGUGGAAAAUGCAGAAAUCAAAAAUCAAUUCCCAUAGACAAUGCCACUGUUCCGUUGCGGAACCAAAACUAAUCGUAGAACGGAGGUUGCGAGAUGCAACGUUAGGCUUAAACUUCUGAUGCCGUGAAGGAGAGACCGACCUGCGAGGUUAACACUCCAACACUUAAGUCAGUAUGAAAGCAAGAUGAGUGAAUAAAGUUUGAAUUGAAAUUGUGUGCUAGAAAUUGACGCAUAUGUUAUUUAUUUAGUGAGUCUGUUAUAACAAUCCGUUAUUCUUCAGGGAUAGAAUGUAGGAAACUGUUGGAUGUAUCUUAGAACCAGAUCUCAUAGACUUUUGCCCAUAUUAUCAAUCCUAUACUACGAGUGGAAUGGAGAUUGUUGUCUUCUCUGGACUGCAAUCAUUGACCUUUCUCAUGAUAAAUAAAUAUAUCACAUAUUUCUUACCUAAAGAAAUAUACUAAACUUCUCACAACCUUAUGUGAGCUAGUUCUAAUCACACUUAAAUAUCCUAAUCAUCACAAACAAUCAUUUUUAUUAAAAGGUCAUCCUCAUUGUAUUUUUUUAACAAUUACAAAAUUUAUUUCAAACUAAUUGAUCAUUACUUUUUCAACAAAUUUCCAUCUCAAAACAUGUACUACCUAUGAAAAUAUUUUCAAAAUCACCUAUAUUACUGCUUAAUUUAUUUGAACAUCCUUAAUAUACUAGAUUAAAUAUUUCUCUGUUGUUUAAAAAAAUUAAUAAAAUCAACGAGUAAUGUAAUUUAAGUAUAUUUCAAUAAAAAAAUACAACUAUUAUUUAAUUUACAACAAUAGAAUCUUAGUUUCCAUUUAUAACAACUCUUUCCUCUUACGCUUUUAGUUGGAUCAUACAAACAUAUAAAAUUCUCAAUUAAUUGUGCAACUUGAUCGCAAAUGAUUAGUACAAUUAAAAUGCAAUCUAUGUAAAUAUACCUACUAACACUGUCAAACAUCAUAAGAUGCUUAAUGAUCAUAAUUUGAGUCCAUCGAAAUAAAAUUAGAUAUUCUUAGAUUAGGGUAUAGACACAUCCUUUUCAUGUAAAUAUAUGUCAUAAAGCAAAAAGAGGUGAAGAAAAAAAAGAAAAGAAAGAAGAACAAAAGGUCUCUAUUACUAUUAGCCCCCCAAAAAGUUUGACAUUGACCCUCUCUUACCCUCAAAUACUUAAGUGGGCACAGCAUCUCCCUCACUCACCACCAUGAAAGACAAGCACUCACAAAGUUUUCUUUUUCUACAAAAGAAAAAAAAACAUAAAUGAUAUUUCAUUAUUUCAAUAAAAAUAAGACUUGACAAUUUAUAAACAUUUUAAUAAUUAAUCGAUAUUUUUAUAAACGCUCUUUAAAUUUUAAAGUUGACCUAAUUCUAAUUCUGAUGAAUCUCUAGAGUCUAAUUUUUUUAAUGUAUUUAUUUACUUUCAUGAAAUGGAGUAAUGAUAAUUAGAAAUCUAGAACAUGUUGAAUUCACUCCUUUCUAUUCUUCCCACAUAGAAUCUAUGCCCACCAUGUGUUUCAACCAUGGCGCAAAAAAGGGGCCCCACACCUACAAUCCAACCCAACAUCAUAUUAACAUUAACUCCCACAAACCAAAAAAAACAUCUUCCUCUUCCAACAAAAACCACUCUCCUCUUCAUCAUCAUCAAACUCUAAACACCAAUCCACAAUCUUAUCCUUCUUUCUCUUACUCAUCCUCUUUAAGACUAAAAUCUUUUUCAUUUCUAACACACUCACUUCAAUUAAUUAUUUUGGGUGUUCCACUUCAAUAACUAAACUAAUCCCAAACAAACAAACACCUUCAAUUAUUUUAUCUUUUAUGUUUAUUUUUUAUUAUUACCUCACUUCAAGUAAUAAAUAAAUUUUAGUUUUAUAUUUUUAUAUAUGCUAGCCGGCGAUGCCGACGCCGGUAAGCACAGCGAGGCAAUGCUUAACAGACGAAGCGGCGCGUGCACUAGACGAGGCAGUAUCAGUAGCGCGUAGGCGAAACCACGCGCAAACAACAUCUCUUCAUGCCAUCUCAGCUUUACUAUCUUUACCUUCCAACAUGCUACGCGACGCCUGCGCGCGUGCCGGAACUUCUCCUUACUCGCCGCGUCUUCAGUUUCGCGCCUUAGAGCUCUCCGUCGGCGUUU
rnacentral:lncRNA from 1 species